UACGGGGGGGGUAAGCGUUGUUCGGAAUUACUGGGCGUAAAGGGCUCGUAGGCGGCCAACUAAGUCAUACGUGAAAUCCCUCAGCUUAACUGGGGAACUGCGUGUGAUACUGGAUGGCUUGGAUUUGGGAGAGGAAUGCGGAAUUCCAGGUGUAGCGGUGAAAUGCGUAGAUAUCUGGAGGAACACCUGCGGCGAAGGCGGGUUGCUGGGCCGACACUGACGCUGAAGCGCGAAAGCCAGGGGAGCGAACGGG
rnacentral:rRNA from 1 species